rnacentral:misc_RNA from 1 species
GAAAUGCGAUAAUUAAUGUGGAUUGCAGAAUUCAGUGAAUCAUCGAGUCUUUGAACGCACAUUGCGCCCCCUGGUAUUCCGGGGGGCAUGCCUGUCCGAGCGUCAUUGCUGCCCUCAAGCACGGCUUGUGUGUUGGGCUUCCGUCCCUGGCAACGGGGACGGGCCCAAAAGGCAGUGGCGGCACCAUGUCUGGUCCUCGAGCGUAUGGGGCUUUGUCACCCGCUCCCGUAGGUCCAGCUGGCAGCUAGCCUCGCAACCAAUCUUUUUAACCAGGUUGACCUCGUAUCAGGUAGGGAUACCCGCUGAACUUAAGC